CGGGGCCGCACAGCGCUGCCCCUUUAAGGCAGCGCAGCCCCGCGCGCAUUCCGGCGGCCGCGUCAGCGUUCCGGGAAGCGGUGGCGUCACCCCGCCAUCCCUCCCUCCCUCCCUCGCUCGCUCGGUGCCGCCGCCGUCCCGCGGCGGGGCGGGCCCGGCGAACAAAGGCGGCACAAACAUAGAAGGUAGAAAAGAGGAGUAAAGAUAUGAGCAGGAAAUUUAGGCUAUUUGCAAUUUGCCAUGGGAUGUUUUGGGCAGGGUCCCGGCCGAGCUGAGGAGGUGGCGGAGUUUGCCUGCAGCUCUGUCCGCAGUGUGGUGAGGUGGAACAGCCGCUGGAUGUCCCUCCUGCGCCGCUCUCAUGGACAAGGAGCAGCUUCCGGAGGGACGAGCCUGCAGCUGGAGAAGGCAAAUGGACAGGGUAAGAACUUGCUAUUCACAGAGUUCCUCCUUUGGCUCCUGUGGUGUAAAGCUACCUGUACCUGCUGCUACAUGGAAAAAAAAAAAACCUGCAAAAGAAUUAAAAUUCAAGAAGCCUGGAUUUAUUUGAAGUAAUACCAGUAGAGAUCUGGGAUAAUUCCAUUAGAAGCACUGCAGUCAUUCUUCUAAAAGGAUACCUAAAGAGACAUUCUCCAGGGCCUAGACAGUAAUCUUUGUUACAUUUUUAAGUGGGCAUCAAUUCCUUGCAGAUACUUUCCUUGACUUU
rnacentral:lncRNA from 1 species